rnacentral:rRNA from 1 species
GACAGAGGGUGCAAACGUUGUUCGGAAUUACUGGGCGUAAAGCGCGUGUAGGCGGCUAUGCAAGUCGGAUGUGAAAGCCCUCGGCUCAACCGGGGAAGUGCACCCGAAACUGCAAAGCUAGAGUCUCGGAGAGGAUCGUGGAAUUCUCGGUGUAGAGGUGAAAUUCGUAGAUAUCGAGAGGAACACCGGUGGCGAAGGCGGCUAUCUGGACAGAGUCUGACGCUGAGGCGCGAAAGCUAGGGGAGCAAACAGG